rnacentral:rRNA from 1 species
UAGAGUUUGAUCAUGGCUCAGGACCAUUGCUGGCGGCGUGCUUAACACAUGCAAGUCGAACGAAGCCGUUAGAAGGAAGUUUUCGGAUGGAAUUCUGACUGACUGAGUGGCGGACGGGUGAGUAACGCGUGGGUAACCUGCCUCAUACAGGGGGAUAACAGUUAGAAAUGACUGCUAAUACCGCAUAAGCGCACAGGAUUGCACGAUCCAGUGUGAAAAACUCCGGUGGUAUGAGAUGGACCCGCGUCUGAUUAGCUGGUUGGCGGGGUAACGGCCCACCAAGGCGACGAUCAGUAGCCGACCUGAGAGGGUGACCGGCCACAUUGGGACUGAGACACGGCCCAAACUCCUACGGGAGGCAGCAGUGGGGAAUAUUGCACAAUGGGGGAAACCCUGAUGCAGCAACGCCGCGUGAGUGAAGAAGUAUUUCGGUAUGUAAAGCUCUAUCAGCAGGGAAGAAAAUGACGGUACCUGAGUAAGAAGCCCCGGCUAACUACGUGCCAGCAGCCGCGGUAAUACGUAGGGGGCAAGCGUUAUCCGGAUUUACUGGGUGUAAAGGGAGCGUAGACGGCGAUGCAAGUCUGAAGUGAAAGCCCGGGGCUCACCCCCGGGACUGCUUUGGAAACUGUAUGGCUGGAGUGCUGGAGAGGCAAGCGGAAUUCCUAGUGUACCGGUGAAAUGCGUAAAUAUUAAGAAGAACCCAGUGGCGAAGGCGGCUUGCCUGGAAUUAACUGACGUUUAAGCUCGAAAGCGUGGGGAACCAACAGGGAUUUAAUGCCCCUGGUAUUCCCCCCCUGUAACGAUGAAUUGCUAGGUGUUUGGGGAACCAACCUUCCCCCGCCCCCCC